UGGGGAAUUUUGGACAAUGGGCGAAAGCCUGAUCCAGCAAUGCCGCGUGUGUGAAGAAGGCCUUCGGGUUGUAAAGCACUUUUGUCCGGAAAGAAAUCCUUGGCUCUAAUACAGUCGGGGGAUGACGGUACCGGAAGAAUAAGCACCGGCUAACUACGUGCCAGCAGCCGCGGUAAUACGUAGGGUGCAAGCGUUAAUCGGAAUUACUGGGCGUAAAGCGUGCGCAGGCGGUUUGCUAAGACCGAUGUGAAAUCCCCGGGCUCAACCUGGGAACUGCAUUGGUGACUGGCAGGCUAGAGUAUGGCAGAGGGGGGUAGAAUUCCACGUGUAGCAGUGAAAUGCGUAGAGAUGUGGAGGAAUACCGAUGGCGAAGGCAGCCCCCUGGGCCAAUACCGACGCUCAUGCACGAAAGCGUGGGGAGCAAACAGGAUUAGAUACCCUGGUAGUCCACGCCCUAAACGAUGUCAACUAGUUGUUGGGGAUUCAUUUCCUUAGUAACGUAGCUAACGCGUGAAGUUGACCGCCUGGGGAGUACGGUCGCAAGAUUAAAACUCAAAGGAAUUGACGGGGUCAUAGCUG
rnacentral:rRNA from 1 species